GUCGAGAAUCAUUCGCAAUGGGCGAAAGCCUGACGGUGCGACGCCGCGUGGAGGAUGAAGGCCCUAGGGUCGUAAACUCCUGUCAUCAGGGAGUAAAGACUCGUGUAGUCACUGACACGGGUCCUGAUAGUACCUGAAGAGGAAGGGACGGCAAACUUCGUGCCAGCAGCCGCGGUAAUACGAAGGUCCCAAUCGUUGUUCGGAUUUACUGGGCGUAAAGAGUCUGUAGGCGGCGGUGUAAGUCAGAUGUGAAAUCCCGGGGCUCAACCCCGGAACUGCAUCCGAUACUGCCUUGCUAGAGUAUUGGAGGGGAGUCUGGAAUUCUCGGUGUAGCAGUGAAAUGCGUAGAUAUCGAGAGGAACACUAGUGGCGAAGGCGAGACUCUGGACAAUUACUGACGCUGAGAGACGAAGGCCAGGGGAGCGAAAAGGAUUAGAAACCCGAGUAGUCC
rnacentral:rRNA from 1 species